AUGAACGCUGGCGGCGUGCUUAACACAUGCAAGUCGAACGGAAAGGCCCAAGCUUGCUUGGGUACUCGAGUGGCGAACGGGUGAGUAACACGUGGGUGAUCUGCCCUGCACUUCGGGAUAAGCCUGGGAAACUGGGUCUAAUACCGGAUAGGACCACUUCUCGGAUGUUGUGGUGGAAAGUUUUUUCGGUGUGGGAUGAGCUCGCGGCCUAUCAGCUUGUUGGUGGGGUAAUGGCCUACCAAGGCGUCGACGGGUAGCCGGCCUGAGAGGGUGUACGGCCACAUUGGGACUGAGAUACGGCCCAGACUCCUACGGGAGGCAGCAGUGGGGAAUAUUGCACAAUGGGCGCAAGCCUGAUGCAGCGACGCCGCGUGGGGGAUGACGGCCUUCGGGUUGUAAACUCCUUUCGCUAGGGACGAAGCGUUUUGUGACGGUACCUGGAGAAGAAGCACCGGCUAACUACGUG
rnacentral:rRNA from 1 species